AAAAAAGGAAAGAGGGAUCUGAAUUUUGAGAGAGAACCGGCAGGAGAGAAAGGGAGAAAGAAGAAGAAGAAGAGAAAAGAGGGGAAAAUAAGGGAAAAGGAAGAGAUUGGAAGAAAUAAGUUUAAAGAUAAUCCUGAUAUUCUACCGGCGGGACGUCAGUAGGAUUUUCUUCGAUAUCAGCUUUGAGUUUUGUUGCUUUCGAGUCAGGAGAAGCUGAUGAGGACCCAGGUAGACCAGAAAAAAAGCAGAAAAGGGAACAGCAGCCAAGAAUCGGCAGCGGCAGAAAUUCCAGCGGCUAGGUCGGUGCAAGGAGUCCUUGCGGGAGGAGGAAUUUCGGCAGCUAUAAGUCGGCUACCAGAGACAGUUUUCUUGUGUAAACUGGAAAGGAAGAAAAGGAAGUUUUUUCCAAGGAAAAAGGAGAAGAAAAGUACAGAUUUAAGAGCUUUAUAUGUGGCGGAAACAGCAUUGAAGUCAUCAACUCAACCUGGCAGAACUAGGUCUCUGAGUUGAGGAGUCCUGAGUUCUAAUUAGAAUUAUGUUAGUUUAUAUCUUAGAUUAGAUUAGGCUUUAUCUUUAUUAGUUAUUUUCAAGUAAAUUACUUGUUAGACGAGGAAGUAAGGCUAUAUAAUGUAGGAGAUUUUUUUUUGUGUUAAUCUAUAUAAUUUUUUUUUUUA